rnacentral:rRNA from 1 species
CGUAGGGUGCGAGCGUUGUCCGGAAUUAUUGGGCGUAAAGGGCUCGUAGGCGGUUUGUCGCGUCGGGAGUGAAAACGCCGUGCUUAACACGGCGCUUGCUUUCGAUACGGGCAGACUAGAGGUAUGCAGGGGAGAACGGAAUUCCUGGUGUAGCGGUGAAAUGCGCAGAUAUCAGGAGGAACACCGGUGGCGAAGGCGGUUCUCUGGGCAUUACCUGACGCUGAGGAGCGAAAGUGUGGGGAGCGAACAGGAUUAGAUACCCUGGUAGUCCACACCGUAAACGUUGGGCGCUAGGUGUGGGGUCCAUUCCACGGAUUCCGUGCCGCAGCUAACGCAUUAAGCGCCCCGCCUGGGGAGUACGGCCGCAAGGCUA